UACGUAGGAGGCGAGCGUUGUCCGGAGUUACUGGGCGUAAAGGGUGCGCAGGCGGCGGUUCGCGUGGAUAGAUGAAAUCUCCUGGCUUACCUGGGAGGAUGGUAUCCAGACGGGAUCGCUUGAGGGUCGGAGAGGGGCGUGGAAUUCCAGGUGUAGCGGUGAAAUGCGUAGAUAUCUGGAGGAAUACCGGUGGCGAAGGCGGCAUCCUGGACCGGCAUUGACGCUGAGGAGCGAAAGCCAGGGGAGCAAACGGG
rnacentral:rRNA from 1 species